rnacentral:rRNA from 1 species
GAUGAACGCUGGCGGCGUGCCUAAUACAUGCAAGUUGAGCGAACGGACGAGAAGCUUGCUUCUCUGAUGUUAGCGGCGGACGGGUGAGUAACACGUGGAUAACCUACCUAUAAGACUGGGAUAACUUCGGGAAACCGUAGCUAAUACCGGAUAAUAUUUUGAACCGCAUGGUUCAAAAGUGAAAGACGGUCUUGCUGUCACUUAUAGAUGGAUCCGCGCUGCAUUAGCUAGUUGGUAAGGUAACGGCUUACCAAGGCAACGAUGCAUAGCCGACCUGAGAGGGUGAUCGGCCACACUGGAACUGAGACACGGUCCAGACUCCUACGGGAGGCAGCAGUAGGGAAUCUUCCGCAAUGGGCGAAAGCCUGACGGAGCAACGCCGCGUGAGUGAUGAAGGUCUUCGGAUCGUAAAACUCUGUUAUUAGGGAAGAACAUAUGUGUAAGUAACUGUGCACAUCUUGACGGUACCUAAUCAGAAAGCCACGGCUAACUACGUG